UACGAAGGGUGCAAGCGUUAAUCGGAAUUACUGGGCGUAAAGGGUGCGUAGGCGGUUGUUUAAGUCUGUCGUGAAAUCCCCGGGCUCAACCUGGGAAUGGCAGUGGAUACUGGGAGGCUAGAGUGUGUCAGAGGAUGGUGGAAUUCCCGGUGUAGCGGUGAAAUGCGUAGAGAUCGGGAGGAACAUCAGUGGCGAAGGCGGCCAUCUGGGACAACACUGACGCUGAGGCACGAAAGCGUGGGGAGCAAACAGG
rnacentral:rRNA from 1 species